rnacentral:rRNA from 1 species
CAAUAGCGUAUAUUAAAGUUGUUGCAGUUAAAAAGCUCGUAGUUGAAUCUUGGGAGCGGGUGGGCUAGCGAGCCACAGCCCGUCCCUGCUUCUUGCCUCUCGGUGCCCCCUGGAUGCUCUUAGCUGAGUGUCCUGUGGCCCGAAGCACUUACUUUGAAAAAAUUAGAGUGUUCAAAGCAGGCCCAAGCCGCCUGGAUACUGCAGCUUGGAAUAAUGGAAUAGGACCACAGUUCUAUUUUGUUGGUUUUCGGAACUGAGGCCAUGAUUAAGAGGGACGGCCGGGGGCAUUCAUAUUGCACCGCUAGAGGUGAAAUUCUUGGACUGGCAGUUUAGACCAGAGCGAAAGCAUUUGCCAAGAAUGUUUNCAUUA